AUUCCAGCUCCAAUAGCGUAUAUUAAAGUUGUUGCAGUUAAAAAGCUCGUAGUUGGAUUUCUGUCUCUUUUGGGAUGCGGUCCGCCCUUCAUGGGUGAGCACUGUUAUCCUGGGGACAUCCUCUCAAAGGCGUUAUGGUGCACUUAGUUGUGUGCUUAAUGAAUUUGGGAUCUUUACUUUGAAAAAAUUAGAGUAUUCAAAGCAGGCUUAUUGCUUGAAUAUAUUAGCAUGGAAUAAUGGAAUAGGACUUUGGUUCUAUUUUGUUGGUUUCUAGGACUGAAGUAAUGAUUAAUAGGGACAGUUGGGGGCAUUAGUAUUUAAUUGUCAGAGGUGAAAUUCUUGGAUUUAUGAAAGACUAACUACUGCGAAAGCAUUUGCCAAGGAUGUUUUCAUCG
rnacentral:rRNA from 1 species